AAUCCCAGACGGAGAAACGGCUAAGUUUUACGGCGUCACCCAUCAGUUUAGCGUAAAAAAAAUGAAUCAAAUUUUUCAAAUGGUUGUGAGUUUCAGCAGGAGUGCGCCCAUUGUUUACACUGCAGACGGCUGGGUGACGGUGGGUUCGGAAGGAACACGGAGUGGCACGAAGUGUAAUGACGCUAAAUAAAGGAAGCCGAGACCCGAGUGCGCAGAAUGGAUUCAGUAAACGGGAUGUUUGUGUUGUGGGCUUGACUGUAAAAUAAAUCCAAACUGAACUGGUGUUCAAGAUGCUAGGAGGGCCUGGAUCGAGUGGAGAGUCAGAGACAUUUUCCCAGGGCGGAAAUGGCGAACACGAGAGGUGCAAUUUUAAGGCGAUUGGAGAAAAGUAAAAGGUGAUAUCACAGAGGGCGGACGGGAUUCUGCUGAAGACAAUAACCUGGAGUUACACCCAGACUUAGGCUCUUUGUGGUUGUGGGGCUCGCUCCCCAAAAAAUCUCUCUCCCUCCCUCCCGAUAUUCGUGUUGCCUCAGAGAGAGCCUGUGGUUUGUUGAAUUGUUGAGGUGAGCGAUUAGGAGUCCUUACUGUGCUGCUGUUUGUGCGUGGGAGAGGGGAGUGGGGGCUUUGGGGUUCCAAUGUUUUAACAUUUUUUGUCUGUGAAGAACAAGAAUUUCAGGAGGUGUAUUGUAUACAUUUCUCUGAUAUUAAAUGGAGCUAUUGAAAAAUAAAUCUAAGCGCACUGCCGCAAUUUUAUUUUGGACAGUGUUUUCAGAUCUUUUUUCUCCUACGGGCCAAUAG